CUUGAAUUGUUGCCCAUUGAGUUUCACUUUACACACACACACUAGACGCUACGAGACUAGAGUCUACUCUGAAAGGAGCCCACGUGGUCUAGGUCUCAAAGACAACAUGUGUCUCCACUGGACCUGACGGCCCACUCCGAGAACUCUGAGCACGCUGGGAUUGGAGAUCCUUUGGUGUCAGGUGCGGAUUGUAGCUCAGGAGUUCGAGUGGGGUGGGCUGGUAACCGGAAGGUUGCUAGUUCGAUCCUGUGUCGAGGCGUCCCUGAGCAAGACACCUCACCCUAAAUGCGAGCUGGGUGUCGUCUUUUGUGGCUGACCCUGCCGUCGGUGUGUGAAUGGGUGAAUGUUAAGCAGUAUUGUAUUGUGGCCACUGGUUAGGAAAACGCAGUGUAAAUGCAGUCCAUUUACCACACAUCACACAGCGCUGCCCAGGACAAACCAACCACCAGGAACAGAUCCUCUUCUCUGCUCAUAAAGGAGACCUGGCCCGUCGAAGAUCAACAAGCAGACUCGUUCGCUGAAGUAAUCAAGCAGCAAAUAAUGUGUAAAACAGAGUUCUGCCAGGCGAACGCUGGAGGGGGAAACAAAACUUACGUCGUAGACCACAGCAAACACACCUGGACUCCGGCGGUUCACAGAGGCGCGUGAUUGGAGAGCUUUUUAAAGAGCUUUUAAUGCAACUUAAAACCGCAGACUUUAGAAGCAGAGCUGAGCUCAGAAGACUCUUUGAGGUACAAAAGUAGCAGCGAAACCAAAACCGAUAAAUUAAAUAAAAAGGCAUUCCAUUCAUGCAGACACGGGCGGUCCCCCCCCCCCCCCCCCCAUGUGGGUCCGGGUCCUCUCCCCGCGGGUCAGGGUCCUCUCCCCGCGGGUCCGGGUCCUCUCCCCGCGGGUCAGGGUCCUCUCCCCGCGGGUCAGGGUCCUCUCCCCGCGGGUCAGGUCCUCUCUCCGCGGGUCAGGGUCCCCUGCUUGGUUUAAAGGCGUCGUUAGGGGCCUGUGACAUCACCCUGCAGGGCCACGGGUCUCUAGGGGCCGUCCUCCGUGUUAAGGAGACGUCUGACAGGAGAACGGACUGAUGCUUUGCACCACAGGGACAACACAGUCUCCCUGAUCCCUCCCUCCCUCACCCUCACCCACCCCCUCUCCUCCGAUGCCUCCCUCACCCCCAACGGCUCACCCUCCUCCCCAUCUCUCACCCACUCCC
ensembl:lncRNA